UUUUUGGAGAGUUUGAUCUUGGCUCAGGACGAACGCUGGCGGCGUGCCUAAUACAUGCAAGUCGAGCGCUGGAAGCUAAUUUCAUCCCUUUGGGAUGAAAUUAGUGGAAAGAGCGGCGGACGGGUGAGUAACACGUGGGCAACCUACCUAUAAGACUGGGAUAACUCGCGGAAACGUGAGCUAAUACCGGAUAAUACUUUUUAUUGCAUAAUAAGGAGUUUGAAAGGCGGCGUAAGCUGUCACUUAUAGAUGGGCCCGCGGCGCAUUAGCUAGUUGGUGAGGUAAAGGCUCACCAAGGCAACGAUGCGUAGCCGACCUGAGAGGGUGAUCGGCCACAC
rnacentral:rRNA from 1 species